AUUUUAAAAUAACACAUGGUUGGUUUUUUAACUUGGGGUCUUAUUUGCCGGAAGAAUGGACCUAAAACUGCUUAGAGGGGAGAAGGACCAAAAUGUGUACGGGGUCAUCACUCCAGCACCCCUGGCCUCCACCCACCAGAUGCCAGUUGUGACAUCCCCCAAGUUGUGACAACCAAAAAGAUCUCUAGACAUUGCCAAAUAUUUCCUAGAAGACAACAUUACUCCAGUUAAGAACCACUGGGUCACAACUCCAUUGAACAGCUAUGCCUGCAGUUCCUGCCUGGGUGACAGCCACCUGUAAACAAGAAAAAGCUGGGAAAGAGCCCAGUGCAGAAGCUGGAACCCAAGGGAUUCCAGGUUCUAAAGGUUCUAAGAAGGAGCCCAACUUCUGGGAACGCACAUCCUUCGUUGCUCCUGGGAGCCCAAAUUCCAAGAAAUGCAGCUAAAAUUGGCUCUCGAAAAGCUUUUACAGAACACG